AAGCAAACCUGUUCUAUCGCUGUUCCUUCGGGAAGAGAGGAAAGUCCGGGCAACAUAGAGCGACACGCUUCCUAACGGGAAGGCGUCCUACACGUUGGAUGACAGAAAGUGCCACAGAAAAUAUACCGUCCGCCUUUUGGGCAGAUAAGGGUGAAAACGUGAGGUAAGAGCUCACGGUAUUGCAUGGUGACAUGUAUUACGGUAAACCUCGUGUGUUGAAAGAUCAAAUAGGUUGCGAAAUCAGAAGGCUGCUCGCCUUCUACUACUUCUCUAGUAGUAUUCGCGAUGGGUAGAUUGAUUGAGCUUGCGUGUGAAUGCAAGCCUAGAUAAAUGAUAGAAAUCCCUCAAGGGAUACAGAACCCGGCUUAUAAGGUUUGCUUCUUU
rnacentral:RNase_P_RNA from 2 species